AGAGUUUGAUCCUGGCUCAGAAUAAACGCUGGCGGCGUGCUUAACACAUGCAAGUCGAGCGAGAAAGCUCUUUCGGGAGUGAGUAAAGCGGCGGACGAGUUAGUAACACGUGAGAAUCUACCCCUCAGUGAAGAAUACCUUCGAGAAAUUGAAGUUAAUGCUGCAUACGUCUCUACAGAGAGAUCUGUUUAGAGAAAGGUGGCCUCUUUGCUGCCGCUGAGGGAUGAGCUUGCGGACUAUUAGCUAGUUGGUGGGGUAAUGGCCUACCAAGGCGAUGAUGGUUAGCCGGCCUGAGAGGGUGUACGGCAACGCUGGAACUUAGACACGGUCCAGACUCCUACGGGGGGCAGCAGUGAGGAAUAUUGCGCAAUGGGCGAAAGCCUGACGCAGCGACGCCGCGUGGAGGAUGAAGGUCUUCGGAUUGUAAACUUCUGUUAAGUGGGAAGAAAGACUUUUUCUAAAUAGGAAAAAGGGAUGACUGUACCAUAGAG
rnacentral:rRNA from 1 species